UGGGGAAUUUUGGACAAUGGGCGAAAGCCUGAUCCAGCCAUGCCGCGUGCAGGAUGAAGGCCUUCGGGUUGUAAACUGCUUUUGUACGGAACGAAACGGCCUUUUCUAAUAAAGAGGGCUAAUGACGGUACCGUAAGAAUAAGCACCGGCUAACUACGUGCCAGCAGCCGCGGUAAUACGUAGGGUGCAAGCGUUAAUCGGAAUUACUGGGCGUAAAGCGUGCGCAGGCGGUUAUGUAAGACAGUUGUGAAAUCCCCGGGCUCAACCUGGGAACUGCAUCUGUGACUGCAUAGCUAGAGUACGGUAGAGGGGGAUGGAAUUCCGCGUGUAGCAGUGAAAUGCGUAGAUAUGCGGAGGAACACCGAUGGCGAAGGCAAUCCCCUGGACCUGUACUGACGCUCAUGCACGAAAGCGUGGGGAGCAAACAGGAUUAGAUACCCUGGUAGUCCACGCCCUAAACGAUGUCAACUGGUUGUUGGGUCUUCACUGACUCAGUAACGAAGCUUACGCGUG
rnacentral:rRNA from 1 species